UGGGGAAUAUUGGGCAAUGGGGGAAACCCUGACCCAGCGACGCCGCGUGGGGGAAGACGGCCUUCGGGUUGUAAACCUCCUUUGUACGGGAAGAAGGAAGUGACGGUACUGUACGAAUAAGUCCCGGCUAACUACGUGCCAGCAGCCGCGGUAAUACGUAGGGGACGAGCGUUGUCCGGAAUUACUGGGCGUAAAGGGCGCGCAGGCUGUGCUGCAAGUCAGCUGUUAAAUGUCUGGGCUUAACCCGGGCAUGCGGUUGAGACUGCAGUGCUGGAGUGCUGUAGAGGCAAGUGGAAUUCCCAGUGUAGCGGUGAAAUGCGUAGAUAUUGGGAAGAACACCGGUGGCGAAGGCGACUUGCUGGGCAGCGACUGACGCUGAGGCGCGAAAGCCAGGGGAGCAAACGG
rnacentral:rRNA from 1 species